UACAGAGGGUGCAAGCGUUAAUCGGAAUUACUGGGCGUAAAGCGCACGCAGGCGGUUGGUUAAGUCAGAUGUGAAAGCCCCGGGCUCAACCUGGGAAUUGCAUUUGAAACUGGCCAACUAGAGUACGUGAGAGGGGGGUAGAAUUCCAAGUGUAGCGGUGAAAUGCGUAGAGAUUUGGAGGAAUACCAGUGGCGAAGGCGGCCCCCUGGCACAAUACUGACGCUGAGGUGCGAAAGCGUGGGGAGCAAACAGG
rnacentral:rRNA from 1 species